rnacentral:lncRNA from 1 species
UUUUAAUAGAAAUUUGACAUUUUUAGCAUGAUGAUGUCUUAAAAGACAUGAAAAAUUUCUAUUAAAACAUUAAGCUUUAAUAUAGCAUUACAUAUUUAGCUACUAAUUAUAGAAUGACUAUUAUCAGAAUUUUUUAGCUAAUUAGUAAUUGUUAAAAAUUCUUAUCAAUAAAUUAUAUUAAACCUACUUCGAAAAGAAAAUCCAGACAAAAGAAAAUUCCAAAAUUCAACUAUUAUUAUAAUUUUAAAUUCUUGAGAUAAGUGUUCCUCAAAAAUCAUUUGUACAAUGCAAUCUGACUAAUUCUACAUUAGAUUUAUUCCAAUUUUAUAUAGUCAGGUGAUGGACUUCACUCAUUCACAAUUGAUCACUACUAGCAUGUGUAUGAAGAUAUGUCUACAUAUAUACUUCAAUUGGCUGAGCCCUCUUUAUCAAUCAAUUGCAUACACUAGCAGUAAUGAAACUUUAGUGAUUUUUAUUUUUGUAGCAAAUAACCAAUGGGCACUAAUGAAUAUAGUGUUCUUUCUUAUAACAAUAUUCCAAUUGGAUCUAAAUUUAAUAAAAAUCUAAAUUUUUAUUAAAUUUUCGUCACCUAUAAAAUAUGAGCUGAAAGUUAAUCAAAACUCAAAUCAAAAUAUAAAAAAAUAUAACUUAAUAAUAAAUAAGUAAAUAAAAUCAUGACUGAAAAUAAAUAUUGUCCAGUUAGUCACCUCAUACUUGUGUAGAAAAAGAAAGUAUAAAUAAAAACACUAAAAGAGAAAGAGAACUCUUUAAUUGUCCCCUUAUGAUGAUAUUUCAGAUAGUGAAAUUCCACCAUCAUUUGUUUGAAUACAGUAUUCAUCAAGCUAUCCAAAAAAUAAAAUUGAAACAAUGUAGAUAUAUUUCUAUAACAUAAACAUAUUGUGUGCCAUAUAAUUAUCUACUUCAGGGGUCAGCAACGUGCGGCCUGUUGCAAAUUUUUAUACGGCUCGCCAAGCAAUAUAACUUUUAUAUGGUAAACUAAAAAUUAGGAAGACA